rnacentral:pre_miRNA from 1 species
AUUCACCUCUGUGUAGAUGGUGUUCAGUACCAGGGACAGGUGUGUUCACCUCUGUGUUGUUUGUGUUCAGUACCAGGGACAGGUGUGUUCACCU